UAAUUCAAGGUUUUUCAUUUUACUUGAGAAGAGACUUUUGGUUGUGGAAAAAGGCCUUGCUACACAGCUGCUACAAAUAUAAGCUACAACUGCAGAAGUGAGAGAUGAUGGAGUUUGAAUGGUCACAUUUAGGUAAGUUGAACUUUUUUUGGCUUUGUCAGUUUAUAGCUAUUUACUAUAUUUCUACAAUUUCUUCAAUGUACAUGUUCAUUCUAGAUUUCAUUUUUCUCUUCAAUUUAUAUUAUUUUGUAGUUGUUGCUUUCAAAGAGGGUUUCACUCUCAUGGUUUUGUUGUUUCUGCGAAGAUUUUAAAGGUAUAUAUAUAUUUACAUUUCUAUUUACUAUAGCUUUCUUUGUAUUUGAAAACUCUCAUUUGAUUGUGAAAGUGAGAGUGAAACCUGUUUGAGGAAAUGUCUCAAUAUGAAAAAAUGAUGACUUUGUGGUCUUAUUUUUUUGUGCUUUUCUAAACCAUCAUUUGUAUGCAAUUAGGGAAAGAAUUAGUGAAACUAGAUAAUUUGUUAGCUCUUACAUCACCAACUUUCAGGUAUUAUAAAUUUAGAGGAUGGUCUGCAUCCUCCAAAAUUUAAUGCUUAUUUGUUUAUCUGUUAGAUCAGUUUGUAUGAGCACACUUUUAUUUAAUUGUGAGUUGCUAUUUUGAAUAGUUUGGAUCAAGGACUACUUUUUUGUUUGUUUUGGUAAAUCAGUUUGGAUUAUUGGAGAAUAUCGGUUCCUAUUUUUUCUCAAGUUACCCUUAUUGAUAGCAACUUCUUUUUAAUAUAAUUUCAAAUUAUCAAUUAAAACGAAAGGCAUAGAAUGGAUUGAGAAUAGCAUCUUUAAUGAGAUUUAAAAUUGAACCGAUAAACUCAACUUUUAUUUCGGUGUUUUAAUUUUGGAUAUUUACAUGAUAUUACAAAUUGAACCAAUGUAUGAAAGCUAUAAUAUGUAGAAAAUUAUUUUAUUCGUAUUUUUUUUUUAUGGUUGUUUAUUUAUUGAUGGGUUUUUAUAACUUUUUAUUUGUAUUUAUUGAUUUCUAUAUUUUUCUAUGUUGCUUUGCAUUUGUCUGUGUUGCUUCUAAANNNNNNNNNNNNNNNNNNNNNNNNNNNNNNNNNNCUAUUGUCUGAUUUGUUUAGUACAUUGUUUAAUAGAGUUAAAUUAGUUCAUACAUAGGUGUAAAUAUAGAUAUAUUAUGACAAUCCUGAAUCAUAUCAUGCAGAGGUAAAUUAUUGAAGGUAUGGAGGAAAGAUAGCUUAUAAGUCAUCCACUAUUUCUAUUGAAUUUAUUCUCCACUUAAUUGGUGUUAUUUGGUUGUUGUUACACUUGAAUGGAAUGAAAGCUUGAGGCCAAACAAAAAUAAUAUGUGCUGCAGGAUCAUGCUUGAAUGGUCACUUUCUUUCUCAGCUUUGUAACAGGUUUGACUACUCCUUUUGGCUAACACUUUGGCUUUCAUUAUUUCUCAAACAAAUUACAAUAUCUAAUCUAUGCAACAUCCCUCUCUUCUUCUCUCUACACAUCACAGCUUUGAAACAAAUCACAUCUCAUUUCCCCCCUCUUCCAAAACUCAAUUCAAAUUUUGAAUCCCUAUUUCUAUCUCUCUUUUUCGGACUCUCUCUCCCCCUGCUAUUCUUCUUUCUCAAAGUUUAGGUAUAUGCUUCUACAGCUUUGUCACCCUUCCUUAUUUCAUGAUUUCAUUUCAUAUUCUGAUUUUUUUUUUUUGGAAUGUUAAUGUUUAUUCAGAUUAUAUAGAUAUUUCAUUCAUAUGAAU
rnacentral:lncRNA from 1 species